rnacentral:rRNA from 1 species
GACCAACCCUUAAAGACUGCUGCAUCUUUAGGAUAUUCUAGUCCAACAUCGAGGUCACAAACUUUCUUUUCGAUAAGGACUCUCAAAGAAAAUUAUGCUGUUAUCCCUAUGGUAACUAAUUCCAUUAAUCAGAAUUUCUGGAUCAAAACUUGCAGGUAUAAAAGUAGUAAAGAAGCUUUAUUUGUUCCUUAGUCGCCCCAACCAAAAUUUAAAGUAGAUUAAUAUUUAGAUUUAUAUAUUAUUUUCUACUUGUUCUUUUAAAGCUCAAUAGGGUCUUCUUGUCUAUCAAUAGAAUUUAGGUUUCUUCACCUAAAAAUCAAGUUCUAGAAAUUUAUAUAGAGACAGUUUUGCUCACGUCAAACCAUUCAUACUAGCCCUCAAUUAUAGGGCAAAUGAUUAUGCUACCUUUGCACGGUCAGAGUACCGCGGCCGUUGAAAACUUAAUUCACUGGGCAGGUCCGACUC